GUCCCCUCUACACAUCAUGCAACUGAUGCUACAUGGAGCAAGUGGGUUCCACUGACUACUCAGCAGGCUUGAAUAGGAAACCCCAGUCGCCCAGGAAUCCUGGAAGUGAUUGUUGACUGGCCAGAAGCCAAAUACUUUGGGAUAUCAUCAGAGGAGGAGGG